UACGAAGGGGGCUAGCGUUGUUCGGAAUCACUGGGCGUAAAGGGCGCGUAGGCGGCUUUAUAAGUCGGGGGUGAAGCCUGUGGCUCAACCACAGAAUUGCCUUCGAUACUGUAGAGCUUGAGACCGGAAGAGGUAAGUGGAACUGCGAGUGUAGAGGUGAAUUCGUAGAUAUUCGCAAGAACACCAGUGGCGAAGGCGGCUUACUGGUCCGGUUCUGACGCUGAGGCGCGAAAGCGUGGGAGCAACAGG
rnacentral:rRNA from 1 species